rnacentral:rRNA from 1 species
CGGACGGGUGAGCAACGCGUGGGUAACCUGCCUUGCACUGGGGGAUAACACUUAGAAAUAGGUGCUAAUACCGCAUAAGCGCACGGUCCUGCAUGGGACAGUGUGAAAAACUCCGGUGGUGCAAGAUGGACCCGCGUCUGAUUAGCUGGUUGGCGGGGUAAAGGCCCACCAAGGCGACGAUCAGUAGCCGGCCUGAGAGGGUGGACGGCCACAUUGGGACUGAGACACGGCCCAAACUCCUACGGAAGGCAGCAG